rnacentral:lncRNA from 1 species
CAUAAGAGAUGGAGAUAUUUUGAAUGAUAGACAUCAUCUCAGUCGAGAAUACUUACAAUAGAGCUUGAUGAUUCCAAGUGCGCUUAGGAAGAGUAAAAUCCCAAACCUAGAUGUUCAGCAUGAAGAAAAAGAUCCGAUCUUUGAUGAACAAAAAUCAUAUCAUUAGAAAAAUAGAAUAGGUUUUAGAUUAAAAUCUUUAAUCAAAGUAUCAAUAUACCUUGACAGAAGCGGAAGAAACUUGAUCAGGAUAGUAGGAAGUAGCUUUGCUAGAGCUGCUGGUGCGGCUCCCUACUUUAUAUGCAUGCCACACUCUGCAGAAAAGGAGGAUGAAGAUCUUGGGGUUUCACCAUUUUAGAAGGGAAGCAAGAGAGCAUGGAGAUCAGGACACACGGGAAGCCAACUUUCUAAAAAGAAUGACAAACCUCUAUCUUCCAUGCCCCUUCUUGUUAAUUUUGUUGCACAAAAUCUGUUCCAACACCCCUUAGUGAUAAGAACUUAAUUCAAACUAAUUCAAAAUCAAAUUUGAGUUUGGUUUUGAAUUAAUUCUUAUCCACAAUUUGAAACCCAAGG